CUGUGCAAAGGUAGCAUAAUCAUUAGUUUUUUAAUUGAAAGCUGGAAUGAAUGGUUUAAUAAGAAAAAUUCUGUCUCAUUUUUAAGUUUAAAAUUUUAUUUUUAAGUUAAAAAGCUUAAAUUUAUUAAAAAGACGAGAAGACCCUUUAGAGUUUUAUAAGAAAAAAUUGAUUAUUAUUAUGAUUUAAAUUUAAAAUUGGUUUUUAUUAUUUUAUUGGGGUGAUAUAAAAAUUUAAGUAACUUUUUAUUUAUUUAAUCAUUAAUUUAUGUGUAAAUGAUCUUGAUUUUUUGGAUUAUAAGAAUAAUUACCUUAGGGAUAACAGCGUAAUUUUUUUUGAGAGUUCUUAUCGAAAAAGAAGUUUGCGACCUCGAUGUUGGAUUAAAAUUUAAUUUUGGCGUAGAAGUUAAAAAUUUAGGUCUGUUCGACCUUUAAAAUU
rnacentral:rRNA from 1 species